GAUAAAAUCCCUUUGUAUUCUUUUUCUCCAUCCCACUGUUCUUUCCGGUCACGUAUCUAUUUUGUGUCCGUUCAAGAGGCGUUCCCCAUACCGCUGUUGUUUCUGAUUGCAACAAACUGUCACAAUCCCUAAUUUCUUUCAGUCACCAUCUAUUUCACCAUUCAAUAAUUUACAAGAUCGAACAAUUCCUACAUGCCAUCAAGCUGCCUUGGGUUUUAGAAAAGAAGUCAACCCUAGCUUUACCUACCGUUUUCGCCGUUCAUUGGUGGAACUUCAGGUCAACCGAUGGUUGGGUCCCCUUCUACUCCAACCAUUACCGGUGCCGCUACUUAUUUGGCCCCUCCAUCGCCUCUCACUGAUUAUGCUCCCGCUCUCUUCUCCUAUCUCUUUCUCUCUCUGUCACAGUAACCACUUCAGAUAAGGGCGGUGGAGAUAAACCCCAUUUAUGAAAUUUCACAUUAACGGCUUCAGAUAAGGGCGGUGGCGAUUAUGUUAAUCCUAAUUUCUCUCCAAGUCGGUUUCAUUAGACUAGGCUGAACAAUUUCAAGAUUGUCCGCCAUGGGUGCACUAUUGAAAAAAUUAAACCGUGAAUUUCAUGAAGAGCCCCAUUGUCGACUUCUUCGGUCGUUUAACAACUUCUAACCUGAUCAAAAGUAAGAUCAGAUUCAGCGGUGGGUUGAGGUCGAUAGGAAAGGAGAAGGAACUGAGAAAGAGAAUGUUUUGAAAAUUUCAGUUCUUUUCUACAUAUUUUUCCUCUGCAUCUGUAUCGGUUGAUUAUUGACUCUUUUUUCCAUUUAUUGCAGACAAAGAAGAUACUAGGAUUGAUUAUUUAGCAUCGAAAAUUGGCUUCAGCUUCUCCCGAUAUUUCUUCUGGAACUCAUUUAUUUCUCGCGCUCAGAACUUUUCCUUCCAAAUCACAUUUAUUAACUUCUUUUGAAUCAGAGUUAUUGCCCACCACAUGUUUGAUGAAAUGCCUGAGAGGUAUUAAGAACCAGUGCAAACGACUUAUGAACCGAAUUGAUAAGAUGUUAUGUUAAGACAACUUGCUGAUUGCUCCAGAUGGCGCCAUUAAGUUUGAUCUUGAUGCAGAUGUUAAACAUACACCAGUGGGCAUGGUAGAAAAAGAUGAAAGCAGAUAUAUUAUACUACUGUCUUUCUUGAUGAAAAACGAUAAGAAUGAUCAUAAUUAUACAUGACUAUUUCCCCAGAGAUUCAAACGAAUGCCAAAAAGGAAAAUUAAGCAAGUGAUUGUAAAAGAAACUACUGAGCCUGAAGCAAAAGCAACAACAACAAAGCAAUCGUUUAAAGAGAAAAUCAAGAAAGGUAUGUAUGGAUAUGAGUUUGUUAGAUGUAUGUUGUUGUAAUGAUUUUUUUUUUUUUUUUUUGUGUUAUGUUUUUUGUUCUGUUUUCUUAUGAAACUGUGAAGCGGAACGAAAUGAGGGUCUACAGUCGUUUACAUGAACCACCGACAACACUACUAUAUUUAUUUAUAUUUGGGAAGUUUGUUGGGAAGUUCAUAAUUUAAGAAGAGGCCAAAAUGGUCAAAAUGGCAGAUUUGGUCUAAAAUACCAAAACUCUCAAAAUUGACCAGAAGGGUUAAAUGACUAAAAAUUUUGUUUUUGGAGCAUAUAAAUGUUAGUUUCUUAAAAGGCCUGUAUCUAGUUUGUGACAGUGAAACAGGGACAGGGGUAAAACGGGAAAACAAAUGAAAGCAGAGAACAAGUUACAUAAAGCUUUGUAGCUUUAUUAUUUUCUGAAUUGGGAAGGGAGGUGGUGACCUCAACGAAAUACAAUGCAUCUAAUUUAAAGACUGAAAGCUGCGAAUAAAAUGCAACUGACUCCACUAACCUUGUGACUCGGUACUCUAUCAUACUUAGCCUUUUACUUAUUCAAAAUAAGAAGGAAAAACAAACUAACUCCUAACUCUGAAUUAUAUCAACAUUUUCCCCCUUAAUUCAGAGUUCCAAUCUUCUUGAUACCUAUCAUUUUGCACAUCUCAUCAUGCUUCAUUCUUGCCAACGCCUUUGUGAGAACAUCAGCUUUUUGCAUCUUCCCAUCUACAUGAGCAACCACUAUUUCACCAUUUUCGAUACACUCUCUGAUAAAAUGGAACCUCACAUCUAUGUGCUUACUCCUGCCAUGAAAUACUGGGUUUUUCAUGAGCUCUAAUGCUGCCUUGUUAUCAACGAACAUUCUAACUGGUGGAGUGUUUUGACCAGUUAUUUCAGCUAACAAUCUUCUCAACCAUAUACCUUGACAUGCUGUCAUGGUAGCUGCCAUAAACUCUGCCUCACAGGAGGACAGAGCUACACACUUCUGCUUCUGUGAUGACCAAGAGACCAUGUUCCCAUUCACAUAGAAAAUCAUGCCUCCUGUACUUCUUCGAUCAUCCUUAUCUUUGGCAUGGUCACUAUCAGAAUAGCUAGUGAUAGUGAUGUUGGUCUCCCCCUGUGUAUAGAUUAAACCAUGGUCCAGUGUCCCUUUUAUGUAUCUUAAUAUGCCCUUUACUGCUUGGAGAUGUGCCAUGGUGGGUUUUUCCAUGUGACGACUGACAACUCCAACAGCAAAGGACAAGUCUGGUCUUGUGUGUGUCAAAUAUCUAAGAGCACCCACAAUACUCCUAUAUUCAGUGGGAUUUACCAAGUUCCCAUCUCCCUCUUUGGUCAAUGACAAUUUGUGCUCCGUGGGACAUUUUGUGGGAUUGCAAUCAAGCAUUCGAGUCCUUUCUAAAAGCUUCUUUGCAUAUGCUUCUUGUUUAAGAGUAAUGCAGUGAUUGUAUUGGCAUACCUCAAUUCCCAGGUAGUAAGUCAGUAAUCCCAGAUCGCUCAUCUCGAACUUCUCGUUCAUUUCAUCCUUAAAUUUCUUUACUUCUUCAGAUGAGCUCCCUGUCACUAUCAAGUCAUCCACAUACACACCUACAAUUAGUGUGUUUCCUCCUUUCUUCCUUGUAUAGACCGAGUAUUCUUGGGGACAUCUUUUGAACCCUAGUUCUUUCAGGUACUUGUCCAGACAGGAGUUCCAAGCUCUGGGAGCUUGUUUUAGGUCGUACAGGGCUUUGGAGAGUUUCUAUACCUUGUGAAUUUCGCCUUUCUUUUGGUAGCCAGUUGGUUGGGAGACGUAUACUUCUUCUUCGAGAUCGUCGUUUAGAAACGCCGACUUCACAUCCAGGUGAUGAACUUUCCACCCAUUUGAGCUUGCGAGAGCUAGAAUGAGCCGGAUUGUUUCAAUUUUGGCUACUGGUGCGAACACUUCUCCAUAAUCGAGUCCUUCCUUCUGCACAUAUCCCUUUGCCACGAGUCGGGCUUUAUGCUUCACUAUCUUGCCACUUGGAUCUCGUUUUACCUUGUAAACCCACUUUAGGCCGAUCGCUUUUCGAUUUCUUGGUAAAUCGACCAAACUCCAUGUGUUGUUCUUCUCUAUUGCACUUAAUUCCGCCUCCAUAGCUUCUCGUCGUUCUUGUUUCCGACUAGCUUCUUCAUAAGAAGUUGGCUCCUCAUCAAUUCUGGUCAAUAGCAGUUCUUCCAGUGGUACAUGGAUUUCAUCGGUGGCUUCAUAGAGGUCAGUGAGUAAACGAUAUCGUUUUGGUGCUCCUCCGCCGGUGGAGCUCGAUCCUGUGCUUGGAGUGUUCGGGGAAUUUUGGGGAGAUUGGGAAUUUGGAGAAUUGGGUGUAAUGGGUGAUAUUGGGGAAUUUAUCGGGGUAUUUGAAGGGGUUAUAUUCGGGUAACCUGAAUUGGUUGACUGGUCAAAUAUGUCCCAAUUUUCAUUUGACUGUGGUGACCCGUUUUCUUGAUCUGAUGUGUCUGGCACCCAUUCCUCUUCUUCGUCAUAGCCAUCUCCAUUAAAAUCAAAACCUUCAACAGUGAAGCUCAUCCUCGUCGUAGCUUUGAUCUGUGUACUCGUUUCCCAAUCCCACCCGCGUUUCUCUUCAAAUACUACAUCACGACUUACAUACAUCUUUCCCGUAUUUGGAUCCAAUAACCUAUAGGCUUUUGUUCCUUUCUCUACUCCAAGAUGAACCGGUUUUAUACUUCUGUCUUCCAGUUUCUUCAAUUGACCUUUAGCAACCUUCAUGUGAGCUACACACCCAAAUAUGCGCAAAUGAUCAACAUGUGGUUUUCUUUCGGUCCACUUUUCAUAUGGCGUAGCGUUCUUCAGAGCUUUCGUGUGUACUCUGUUUAGAAUAUAAACAGAGUGAGUCACAGCCUCUCUCCACAGUGCAUCUGGCACCUCCAUAGUCUUGAGAUUACACCUCACCAUUUCAAGUACUGUUCUAUUGCGUCUCUCUACUACUCCAUUUUGUUGUGGAGAGUAGGGAGACGUAUAGUGUCUCUGCAACCCUGUUUCAUUACAGUACCUGGUGAAAUCAUUUGACAGGAAUUCUCCUCCUCUGUCAGUUCGCAACACCUUUAAUUUUUCUCCUGUCUCGGUCUCAACCUUGACCCUGAAAUUCUUGAAGGUUUGAAAUGUUUCGUCCUUUGUUUUCAUCAAAAAUACCCACAUGACUCUGCUAAAGUCAUCGACAAUCAACAUGAAGUAUCGAUUCCCUGCUGGUGUAGGUGGUGAGACUGGUCCACACAAGUCACAAUGGAUGAGUUCAAGUCUUUUCUUUGCUCUGAAGUUUGUACAUGUUGGGAAUGGGUUCCGUGUUUGUUUCCCCAAUAAACAGCCUUCACAUGGUGAAGAAGGAACUGUAAUCUUUGGUACCCCAUUAAUCAAACCUGUGUCAACCAUUAGCUUCAUUGAGUUAAAGUUGAUGUGUCCCAUACGUUUAUGCCACAGCCAUACUGUUUCUUCAAUUUCAACUUUCAGACACACUGCGCCAAUUUCUUCCAACUCUAUCUUGUAGAGUCUAUUGUUUGACCUACGAACUUUCAUUAGUAAUUUUCCAAAUGAAUCAUUGACCCAUAAGAAUGGAUCUUUGAUUUUUAUUUCAUCUCCUCCUUCAGCCAAUUGUCCCAAACUAAUGAUGUUACUACACAGGUCUAGGAUGUAGUAUACUUCAUUAAGUUUUCGUUUUCCCCCAUCUUUACAUCUAAAGACGAUUGAACCUUUCCCUUCGAUAUGUACUCUAGAUUCAUUACCAAAUUUUACAAAACCUUGAAUUGACUUGUUCAAGUCUGUAAAUUUGGAUUCAUCCCCUGUCAUAUGAUUGCUGGCCCCUGUAUCAAGGUACCAAAUGCGGGAGAAAUUUUGUGAAUUACCAUGGGUUCGCAGUUUAGGGCUGACAGUUUCUUUGUUCAGGAACACCUUGCCUCCGUCUUCAUACGCUGCGAAUAAGAGUGCAAGUUCAUUAUCUUCAUGCUCCCGAAUUAAAUUGCUUUCGUGACUUCGCUCCUUUCUUGGAUUUUUACAUUCAGCGGCGUAAUGGCCAAAUUCUUGGCAAUUAUAACACUGAACCUCGCUUUUGUCUCGAUUAUUUGAUGAACCCUGACCUCCUUCUUUCUGAUGGUGUGAACUUCCCCUUCCACGACCACCACGACCACUUGCAUUCCUUCCUCUGCCUCUGCCUCUGCCUCUGCCUCUGCCACCACGAGAAUUACUAGAACCACCACAAUUUGAUCUUUGUUUCAAGUCUCCGUUUGCCCUUUUCUUGUAUUUCUCCGUCCAUUCUUUGUGGGUCAACAAGAGUUUCCGAUCGUCACUCUCGCUGCUACUUUUCAUACGUUCUUCAUAUGCCUUAAGCCUACCGAUUACUUCCUCGACGGACAUAGAUUCCAAAUCUCCAAAAUGCUCAAGUGUUGAGGCAACAUCGAUGAAUUUGGAUGAUACAGCUCUAAGCACUUUCUUCACUACCUGGGCUUCUUCAAUCUUAUCUCCCAGGGUGCGUAAAGUACUUACAGUGUUGAUCACUUUCCUAGUGAAAUCAUCAACACAUUCCGUCUCUUUCAUGCUUAAUGCUUCAAAUUCGGCCUUCAACGUCUGAAUUCUGGCCACCUUCACUCUAUCGGCUCCUACAAACAUAACUUUGAGAGCAUCCCAAGCUUCCUUGGCAGUCUUCUUCUCUGCCAAUGUCAUGAGCAGGUCCUCCGGUAUUCCCUGAUAAAUGGCAGCCAAUGCCAUGUUAUCCUUCUUUGUUUCAACGAGAGUGUUGGCUGUUCUGGGUUCUACAGCAUCCCAAACACCUUGAGCCAACAUGAAGACCCUCAUCUUAAUUGCCCAUGCACUGUAAUUGCUUCUAGUCAGCAUCGGAUAGUGUAGAGUGAUUUGCCCAUUUUUGUCACCAUUCCCAUUGCUGCCACUGCCUGUCAUUUCUUCUUUUCUAGGUUGAUAUUUGGGCAUGUACCAGGUUUGCUUUGAUACCAAAUGUUAGUUUCUUAAAAGGCCUGUAUCUAGUUUGUGACAGUGAAACAGGGACAGGGGUAAAACGGGAAAACAAAUGAAAACAGAGAACAAGUUACUUAAAGCUUUGUAGCUUUAUUAUUUUCUGAAUUGGGAAGGGAGGUGGUGACCUCAACGAAAUACAAUGCAUCUAAUUUAAAGACUGAAAGCUGCGAAUAAAAUGCAACUGACUCCACUAACCUUGUGACUCGGUACUCUAUCAUACUUAGCCUUUUACUUAUUCAAAAUAAGAAGAAAAAACACGUGCAGUUUAAGGAAAAACAAACUAACUCCUAACUCUGAAUUAUAUCAACAAUAAACACAUUGUUUACAUUUGGAAAGCUUUUUAAGGAGUUCAUAGAUUAAAAAGGAGGCCAAAUGGGUUAAAAUGACAGGCUUGCUCUACACAGUAAAUACAUAACAUAUCAUGAUGCACUUAUUGGGAUCCAGAUCUAAAGCAAUUGUGGAUGAACGACGUGACGGUACUCAUAUCCCUUUUCCCAUUCACAAUUUUCCUGAUAUAUUAUUUCCAACAAAAGUUGUGGCUGAAGAGGUUCAACAAGUUAGUGGAAGACAUUUACGUUUUUUUUUAUUCCCAAAUCAAUUUUUUCAUAGUACAAUGCUAUACUUUGGUAGAUAUUCUGAAUUUGAAAGUACAAUUUUGUAAUAUAAUUGAAUGGAAGUAAUACAAAAAUAAGUUGAAACGGAUUGUUA